rnacentral:misc_RNA from 1 species
CCUAGAGUUGUAGGCUUUGCCUGCUAUCUCUUACCCAUGUCUUUUAGAGUACCUUCGUUUCCUCGGCGGGUCCGCCCGCCGAUUGGACAAUUUAAACCAUUUGCAGUUGCAAUCAGCGUCUGAAAAAACUUAAUAGUUA